rnacentral:lncRNA from 1 species
UUUUAAUUGAAAUUGAAUUAUAAUUUAAUUUCAAUAAUUAUUUCACUUUUUACAUUUAUUUGAAUAUUAACAGAUAAAAACUAUAAAAAUAUUUUUCUUUUAAGGGAAAAGAUGGAUUUCCAGGUUCAACAGGCCCCCCUGGACUAGAAGGGCAAAAGGGAUCACAAGGAGAUUCAGGAAGACCCGGUAACCCAGGUCCACCAGGUCCUUCGGGUUUACCAGGUCUACCAGGAACAAAAGGAGAUGUUGGACAAGAAGGACAUCCUGGACCAUCUGGCCCACCUGGUCCUCCUGGUCCACCUGGAGAUAAAGGACCUGCAGGAAUGCUUGGACUUCAAGGAAUAAGAGGUUUACCUGGUCCUCGUGGUGCUGUGGGUGAAAGAGGUGUAGAAGGAAAACCAGGACCAAGUGGAUUACCUGGACCUCAAGGUAUUCCUGGACAAGCUGGACCACCAGGUUUACCAGGUGAACCUGGUUCUCCUGGACAUUCUGGUAAAGAUGGACUACCUGGACCAUCUGGACGACCAGGUGAUAAAGGUCCACCUGGACUUCCAGGUCCUCCUGGACAAGCUGGAUUACAAGGACUUCAA